UACGGAGGGGGUUAGCGUUGUUCGGAAUUACUGGGCGUAAAGCGGGCGUAGGCGGGCUGUUAAGUCGGGGGUGAAAUCCCGGGGCUUAACCCCGGAACUGCCUCCGAUACUGGCAGGCUUGAGGUCAAGAGAGGUGAGUGGAACUCUAAGUGUAGAGGUGAAAUUCGUAGAUAUUCGGAGGAACACCAGUGGCGAAGGCGGCUCACUGGCCCGAUACUGACGCUGAGGCGCGAAAGUGUGGGGAGCAAACAGG
rnacentral:rRNA from 1 species